UCAACGGUUCGUCCUCCCUUUGCCGAAUUGUGUACAGAUCAUCGGCAGAGUAGAGACGGUCCGUUUGGAUCAUGAAGUGAUUGAGGAAAAUCUGCUUCAGCUCGUCGAAGGAGGCUACCGUUUCCGGUUCCAACCGGUAGAACCAGUUUAAGGCUGCCCUGGUAAGGGAAGACGGGAAUAGCAGGCACUGUCCCUCGUCGCUCAGGCCCUUGCACCCGAUGGCGGACUGAAAUGAGUGGAGGUGUGUUAAGGGGUCUUUCGUUCCCGUAUAGAACGGUAUACGCAGUUGCUGCACUUCCCUAACCUGCUGAGAAUCCCGGAUGCGCCUGGUGAACGGUCCGGGCCGAAGCUUUCCCCAUU
rnacentral:lncRNA from 1 species